rnacentral:rRNA from 1 species
AUGAAUCAAGUAUACAGGCUGCAUGGGUUCCCAGGCUCAAUCAUCUCUGAUCGUGACCCGGUGUUUACCAGUCACUUCUGGCAGGAACUAUUCAAGUAUGUUGGUACUGGUCUUCGAAUGAGUUCCGCCAAUCAUCCACAGACUGACGGGCAAACCGAGCGUGUUAACCAAUGCCUGGAAACAUUUCUUCAGUGUUUCACCCAAGCCUGCCCCCGUCGCUGGAGUUUCUGGAUUCCUCUUGCUCAAUUCUGGUACAAUUCUUCUUAUCACUCAUCCAUUGGAAUGUCUCCUUUCCGAGCAAUGUACAGGCAUGAGCCACGGCAGUGGGGAAUCACGGCAACAAGUGCUUGUUCCGUACCAGCUCUGCGUUCUUGGUUGGAUGAACGAGCAGUGGUACAGGACCUGUUACAGCAGCAUUUGAACCGAGCUCGGCAAGUUAUGAAGCAGCAAGCUGACAAAAAGCGUUCAUUCCGGGUGUUUGAAGUGGGCGAUCUUGUCUACUUGAAGCUACAGCCGUACAAUUAG